rnacentral:snoRNA from 13 species
CCCCCGUGACGAGUUGCCAUGCUAAUACCGAGGCAUCAGUCGGAGCAGUGACGCUCUGGGCUGGGUGCCGGUGAGUCAGACCACGCCUCUCACCCGGG